rnacentral:rRNA from 1 species
UACGAAGGGGGCUAGCGUUGCUCGGAAUCACUGGGCGUAAAGCGCACGUAGGCGGAUUGCUAAGUCAGGGGUGAAAUCCUGGAGCUCAACUCCAGAACUGCCUUUGAUACUGGCGACCUUGAGUCCGGGAGAGGUGAGUGGAACUCCGAGUGUAGAGGUGAAAUUCGUAGAUAUUCGGAAGAACACCAGUGGCGAAGGCGGCUCACUGGCCCGGUACUGACGCUGAGGUGCGAAAAGCGUGGGGGAGCAAACAGGG